GACUUGCAGACCAUUCUCGUCCCCAGUGCUACUCGUCCUAAAAUGUCGUUGACGAGUAGCUCUUGACGCACCAAAAAAUUCGAAUUUUUUCAUUGGCUGAAGAAAAUGAAUGCGCAGCAGAAAUGAAAAUUACAAAGCUCUACGCAUUCUAUUUUACUUCCGGCCCGAAUGGUGGCACCUUCGCUCAGUUGACACAGGCGCGCUUUACGAAAAAAAAAACGCAAAACAGGUGGUGACCUUUCCCGAUCGAUCCGAAUGAAUCGUUAAAGUUUCCACGUAACCAAAGAAGAAGGUCGCCUACGACGAUGUCAUUCGCGAUCGUAAUCAUCGUCCUUUGUUGUGGCAGCCGAGAGGGUGGGAAGAAACGUUUAAAACUCUGAGAAUCAACCAGCUGAUACAACAAUUACUUUGUCGCUGACCAUACCCCAAGAAAUCAUAAAAUUAAGUUCGAAUCGGCAGUGGGUUUCAAGAAACGUUUGUCUUCCUCUAUGAAAAGCUCAAAAGGAAACUUAGAGCCAGGUGAAAAGACGAAGAAAUAUCACUCUUUCUAAGCAAAUGUGGCACUGGAAAUCCGAAGACCAUAAUAGUGCUACAUAAAUUCCUUGAAGGAUGACCAUAUAUGGAUAAUUCAAAUAGGAAUGUUGGUCUUGCAGUUCGAUAAAUAAUACUGAAAAAAAAGGAGAUGGAGGUAGAAUCAUCGUUAAUAGUAAAGCUAUGUGGUUGAUGUUCUGAUCAAGCACAAGAAGUAGAAAGUAUGCAUUCAAGAUUUGUUGUUGUACAUGGUUAUAUAACAGGCUGAAGAGCCUUAUUACCAUGAACUAACACGAAUUGUAGAAGAGCAACGACAUUGCAUUAUUUCCCAUUCAUUUUGUUCAUGCAGUUUCCUAAAAAAAAAAAUCUUCCAUAAUGUAAAUUGAGGCACACCAAUAUGAAUCACUCUCUUCACAUCAGGAACCUCUACAUGUAUACCAAUGCCAAAUACUAAUGUUAUAGUUACAUCAUUUUAGCUGUAUUAUAUUUUUGAUAACACCAUGUACUCAUAUGGGAAUACUGAAAUAAAUUGUUGUUGUUGUUGUUGUUG